rnacentral:sRNA from 1 species
UUCCUGGAGACAGACUCCUUUUGGUGCUGGCUCCUUCUAUUUGCCCCCACCACCGCCCCCCACCUGCCUCUACUCACUCAGUGCCCCUCCUCCAUCCCUCUGUCUCUGUCCUUCGCUGUCCCUUUCUAUUGUCUCCCUUUUUCUGCCCUCCUGUCCUCCGGGUUCCCCACCCAGGCCCUCUCAGCCUGGCUGGGCCCUUCUCCUUGUGUUGCCUUCCCGGCUGUGGGCUCAGGAUCCUUCCACUUGUUCAGAUCUUUGCCCUUCACCUGCCAUCCUGUCCCCCAGCCUCCUUGCCUGUCUGCAUCUAAAGCCCCUGCCCAGAGUCUGCCUUCUCAGGUCCAGUACUCCCAAUUCACCUGCCCUCGGGAGCCCUCCUUCCUUCGGAAAACUCCCAGCUCUGACUCCUCCUCAGCCCCUCCCCCCGCCCUGCUCACCUUUAAUUGAGAUGCUAAUGAGACUCCUGUCGCUUCCAUCCCUGGCGGGCCGGCGGGCGGGUUCCCCAUCCAGGCCGCUGCACCUGUCAGGGGAGCAAGCUGGAGGAGCAGGACCCUAGACCUCUGCAGCCCACACCAGGGGUCAUGGAGGGGAACAAG